UACGUAGGGUGCAAGCGUUAAUCGGAAUUACUGGGCGUAAAGCGUGCGCAGGCGGUUUUGUAAGUCAGAUGUGAAAUCCCCGGGCUUAACCUGGGAACUGCGUUUGAAACUACAAGGCUAGAGUGUGGCAGAGGGGGGUGGAAUUCCACGUGUAGCGGUGAAAUGCGUAGAGAUGUGGAGGAACACCGAUGGCGAAGGCAGCCCCCUGGGCUAACACUGACGCUCAUGCACGAAAGCGUGGGGAGCAAACAGG
rnacentral:rRNA from 1 species